rnacentral:rRNA from 1 species
AGAGUUUGAUCAUGGCUCAGGAUGAACGCUGGCGGCGUGCUUAACACAUGCAAGUCGAACGAACCCUCGGGUUAGUGGCGGACGGGUGAGUAACGCGUGAGAAUCUGCCCUCAGGAGGGGGAUAACAGUUGGAAACGACUGCUAAUACCCCAUAUGCCGAGAGGUAAAAUGAAUUUUGCCUGGGGAUGAGCUCGCGUCUGAUUAGCUUGUUGGUGGGGUAAAGGCCUACCAAGGCUUCGAUCAGUAGCUGGUCUGAGAGGACGAUCAGCCACACUGGGACUGAGACACGGCCCACACUCCUACGGGAGGCAGCAGUGGGGAAUUUUCCGCAAUGGGCGCAAGCCUGACGGACCAACGCCGCGUGAGGGAUGGAGGCCUUUGGGCUGUAAACCUCUUUUCUCAAGGAAUAAGAUCUGACGGUACUUGAGGAAUAAGCCACGGCUAAUUCCGUGCCAGCAGCCGCGGUAAUACGGGAGUGGCAAGCGUUAUCCGGAAUUAUUGGGCGUAAAGCGUCCGCAGGCGGCCGUUUAAGUCUGUUGUUAAAUCGUGGAGCUCAACUCCAUCACGGCAAUGGAAACUG